rnacentral:lncRNA from 1 species
GGAGUGGCCCGCAGGCUGUGGGGAUGACAUGGAAGAAACUGAAAGCUGGAGAACCGCUGGGCAGAGAUGUAGAGGAUGUCUCUAGUGGUCUCCAAGUCAGCACUAGCCAGAGAUGACGGCUAUGGACGUCAGAUUGUCUCCAAGAGAAGUGAAUCUUCCUCCUGGAUUUUCUGGAAACUGGUCUGUAACAGAGUACCUACGGAUGUCUUCUAGCAACAUGGUACUGUGUGAAUGUGUCACGUUGCCUCUAUUCUCUUUCCGCACAUUUUCCUGUCUACAAUUUCACACCAGGCUGUAUUGACUGUACCGGGCUCUUUGGAUGCUUACAUUUUUAUUCUCGUUAAUUAAAGGAGGAAGAAACAGAUACAGGUCUUUUGAAACCAUAGGAAAUUCAGAAAUUUCUUGAGUUUGUUUGGAAAGCAAGGAAUUUGCAAUCAGACACACACGCUGGUGGGUGGAGUCAACGACUCUGUUUUUCAAGCAAAUCUACAGCUUGGCUUCCCCAAGACUGUUUUUUGUUUUUUUAAUCUUUUACCUACUGCACCACGUUGCUGUAAGGAUCAAAGAAAAUAAUGCUUGUGAAAGUUCUUUUUUAAACUAUAAAGGACUAUACAAAUGUAAGAAAAUAAAGAAACAUAGAAAACUAUUCAUUUCCAAUUCCGAUACAGUAGUGUACCUGUUUGUAAUUUCCUUCAUGCUAAGAAUGUUUAGUCAUAAGUGGGGCUGUGGGAAGACUUUUGAUCAUGCGUAAUUUCUCAGGCACACUCUGCUUAAAGAUACAUUUAUCUUUCUCUGACCUAAUCCCUCUGUGUAUUUCAACUCAACUGAAGUUUCUCACAGGCUUGUACUGUUUUCACUAAAUUUUACCAUAAUACUCUUUACGUACAUCCUUACAGACUGUGAUAAUGUAUCAAAUAAUCCCGGGACAAAGAAGCCCUGGGAAUCUGCUUCGAGGAGGAUUGUUUUCUAUGAAUACGCUCUAAUGCC